rnacentral:piRNA from 1 species
UGAUCUAGAAAUGCCAUAGUCGGUGUAGCC